rnacentral:rRNA from 1 species
CACGCAGGCUGAAUUAUAAGUCGGUAGUAAAAGGCGGGGGCUCAACUUCCGUAUAUCUAUCGAUACUGUAAAUCUAGAGUAUGUGAGAGGGAAGCGGAAUUCCCGGUGUAGCGGUGAAAUGCGUAGAUAUUGGGAGGAACACCAGUGGCGAAGGCGGCUUCCUGGCACAAUACUGACGCUCAUGUGCGAAAGCUAGGGCAGCGAACG